AGCAGUCGCCACGGUAAUACGGAGGGGGCUAGCGUUGUUCGGAAUUACUGGGCGUAAAGCGCACGUAGGCGGCUUGGUAAGUUAGAGGUGAAAGCCCAGGGCUCAACCCUGGAAUUGCCUUUAAGACAGCCGAGCUAGUAGGUGAGAGAGGUGAGUGGAAUUCCGAGUGUAGAGGUGAAAUUCGUAGAUAUUCGGAAGAACACCAGUGGCGAAGGCGGCUCACUGGCUCAUUCUAGACGCUGAGGUGCGAAAGCGUGGGGAGCGAACAGGAUUAGAUACCCCCGUAGUCCCUGUCUCUUAUAC
rnacentral:rRNA from 1 species